GGCGUACCAGUGCUCCGCCUCUUGUCUCUUUCUUUUCAUCCCGCGCUAAGCACGGUGCCUGGCGUACAGGAGAUUCUCAGUGAAUGUUUGUUGACUGACUCACUGUGGAGCCCAUCUCUGAGGCCAGAAGGGACCCACCCCUGGAUGAGAGGUGGCUGAUGGGGGCUGGGUGGCCAGGCCAAGACCCAGAAUCAUGGAGCAGCUGUUAGCGAGACCUGGUGCCCUAUCCGCUGUGCCACCUUGCUGCCCCUUAGAAGGAUUACUUGGGCAUACAUGUGAAGCCUGUAUUGCUGAAGGUAAGAGUAGAGACAGAAAGAUGCUUUGGAAUGAUAUUAAUGAUAGUUCAGGUGAGGGGAUGUGGUGACCAGUUCAAUCUUUGAUCCCCUUAAGGCUUCCUCAGAGAUCUCUAGUUCUGCUUCCUGUGGCUCUCGUUUUGAUGCAGGCAUUCAUUGCCUCUUGCCUGAGUAACAGAGGGCACCACCAUAUCCUCUAGUCUCCCAUUCAGCCAUCUACCCUCUACGUGUUGCCGGAUCCAUCUUCCUAAAACACCCUUACAUCACGAUGGUCAGUGCCUAACACCUCAAGGCCAGCUCCUCAGCCUGGCAUUCAGAGCCCUUCCUAAGCUGGCCCCACCUUAUCUUUUGCCCUUCUCCCUUCUUCCUCAAGUUGACAGCCCUCCGUGGACAGGCUUGACUCAUGGUUCUCCCACCACCCAUACCUGGCUUUUGUGCAUGCUGGUCCCCAGCCUGCCGCGGAUAUAGAAUGUCAAAGCUGGGAGAGGCCUUGACAAUUCUUGAAUUGGAAUCUUUCAUUUUACAGCUGGGGAAACUGAGAGUCAUAGAAAGAAAGGAAUAUCCUAGCCAAUACUGCUCUCUCCUCCUUGUGAAUUCCUAUAUCCCACAAAACUCAUUUGGCAUUUAGCACUCUGCUUUUCAUCCUAAGUGAUCUUUUACUAACUAGGAAGUAAUCAAUCAAAAGCAUUUAUUAAGCACCUGCUGUGUUCUAGUCACUGUGCUAGCCCUGGGGAUACAAAUACAAAAGAAAUAAUAAAAGACAACAUGUCCAUAUAUAAGUUAUACUGAAUUACAAGGCAGUUAGAGAGAGCACUGCCAGCUGUGGGACUCAGGAAAGGCUUAGUUCAAAAAGUGGUGCUUAAGCUGGGUCUUGAAAGAAGAGAGGGAUUCUGUGAAGUGGAGGCAAGGAGGGAGGGCAUUCCAGGCAUUGAAGAUGCAAAGGCAAGGAGGUAGGAGAUUGGUGUUAUAUGUGGAGGACAGAAACAGACAAUGUCUGUUCUUUUCCUAGUAUCCCCACCAUGGUUCUAGGCACUGGGUCAGACCUGGAGGAUCAUGGGAUUUAGAGCAGGAGGGAAUCUGAGAGAUUAUCUAAUCAAACUGCUUCACUUUAUAGACAGGCACAGAGAGGUAAAGGAUUUACCCAAGGUCACACAGGUAGAAAGUAGCAGAGCUGGGACUUGAAUCCCUGCAAAUCAGGCGUUCUUUCCACUCAAUCAUCUGCCUUAUCUAGAUUUUCAGUAAAAACUUGUUGAUUGGUCAAAAACACACCUGACAUUUGACUAAGUCCUUUAUUCCACAUGAUCUCCGGGAUCCUUAUACUAGACCUUAUACUAGAGAUGGGUAGGACUUUUUAUCCUUAAUUUGCAUAUGAGGAAACUGAGGCCCAGUGGGUAAAAUGAAUAAGCCCUCAAAAUGCGUAAGCAGCCACAGGUUACAUUGAUGGGGGCUUGGACCCAGAAUGAGAAAGUGUCCUUUCCCGAGAAAGUGUCCUUUCCCAAGAAAGUGACAGAAGACUGGGCUGAAACUUAAGAGCCUGUUUAGUUCCUGCCCAGCCCACGUGUGGGGCUUCUUCCUUUUGGCCCCUGUGCAUACCACAGGAAGCUUGUCCAUCAUUCCUUAUCAUUCUAGCCACCUUCUGAGUUGAUGUCUCCACCUUGGACAUUCGUAUGUCUGUGUCUGCCUGUAUGAUAGACUCUGUUGCUGAGUGGGCUCCUUGAAAGCAGGGCCCAGGGUCUGUGAUUUGCUGUGUUCUCCAAUGUCUUCCUCUGACCAC